UACGAAGGGGGGCUAGCGUUGCUCGGAAUCACUGGGCGUAAAGGGUGCGUAGGCGGGUCUUUUAAGUCAGGGGUGAAAUCCUGGAGCUCAACUCCAGAACUGCCUUUGAUACUGAGGAUCUUGAGUUCGGGAGAGGUGAGUGGAACUGCGAGUGUAGAGGUGAAAUUCGUAGAUAUUCGCAAGAACACCAGUGGCGAAGGCGGCUCACUGGCCCGGUACUGACGCUGAGGCACGAAAGCGUGGGGGAGCAAACAGG
rnacentral:rRNA from 1 species